GAUGAACGCUGGCGGCGUGCCUAAUACAUGCAAGUCGAGCGAACAGACGAGGAGCUUGCUCCUCUGACGUUAGCGGCGGACGGGUGAGUAACACGUGGAUAACCUACCUAUAAGACUGGGAUAACUUCGGGAAACCGGAGCUAAUACCGGAUAAUAUAUUGAACCGCAUGGUUCAAUAGUGAAAGACGGUUUUGCUGUCACUUAUAGAUGGAUCCGCGCCGCAUUAGCUAGUUGGUAAGGUAACGGCUUACCAAGGCAACGAUGCGUAGCCGACCUGAGAGGGUGAUCGGCCACACUGGAACUGAGACACGGUCCAGACUCCUACGGGAGGCAACAGUAGGGAAUCUUCCGCAAAGGGCGGAAGCCUGACGGAGCAACGCCGCGUGAGUGAUGAAGGUCUUCGGAUCGUAAAACUCUGUUAUUAGGGAAGAACAAAUGUGUAAGUAACUAUGCACGUCUUGACGGUACCUAAUCAGAAAGCCACGGCUAACUACGUG
rnacentral:rRNA from 1 species